rnacentral:rRNA from 1 species
CUUGAAACACGGACCAAGAAGUCUAACAUAUGCGCGACUCGAAGGGUGCUUAAACCUGGAGGCGUAGUGAAAGCAAAGCUUAACGACACAUGAUGGUUCCGAAAGGGACUCGCAAUGUGGCCCCAUUCCAAUAGCUUGUCUAUGGAGUGGAGGUAGAGCGUAUACGUUAGGACCCGAAAGAUGGUGAACUAUGCCUGAGCAGGGCGAAGCCAGAGGAAACUCUGGUGGAGGCUCGAAACGGUUCUGACGUGCAAAUCGAUCGUCAGACUUGGGUAUAGGGGCGAAAGACUAAUCGAACCAUCUAGUAGCUGGUUCUC